AUGAUUUGCCAGUGGAUUGAACGUGGGGGAGGAGAGAGAGAACGUCAAGAAAAUGAUGCAUUAUUCGGAGUGUUUAAAUGUGGAAUUUCCGUAAGAGACACCAGUACUGUCAUUAACAAUUAUUCUGCUCCAUCAUCAAGGUUACUGAGUUUUAGUUUUCUCAUUCUCAAGAUGAAAUACUCGCCAGGUGCGGUGGCUCACGCAUGUAAUCCCAGCACUUUGGGAAGCUAGGGUGGGCAGCUUGCUUCAUCUCUGGUGUUCCAAACCACCCUGGACAAUAUAGUGAAACUCUGUAUCUACAAAACAAUGAAAAACUUAGCUGGGCAUGGUGGUGUGUGUCUUUAGUCCCAGCUACUCAGGAGGCUGAGGUGGGAGGAUUGCUGGAGCCUGGGAGGCAGAGGUUGUAGUGAGCUGGGAUCGCAUUACUGCACUCCAGCCUGGGUGACAGAAUGAGACCCUGUCUCAGAAAAACAAAAGAGAUGAAAACUGAUUAUCUAAAGUGUCAUUCCUAGCUGGGGUAUUUUGUUAGGUUAACUGAUUAAUAUGUGAAUUCAAUAAUUCACUAAUCAGCUAUUAAACAACACUAUGUUUUCUAUAUUUUACCAAACGCUUUACAUACAAAAGUGAGCAGAAUAAACAGCUACUGCCAUCACAGAGUCUGAUCUUGUUAGCAAAAUGACAUAUUUUUGAAAUCCCAUUCUUAAUAGGCAAUGACUUCCAAAGAUUUUACGUUGAAGAUUGUACAGGAAACAUGGCCAGUUUUAGAGCAAUUUAAAUAAGAAAACAUGGAAAAAAUUCAAAGAAGAAAGAAGCAGGGAUGAGGUAUUGAAACAGAAACAAACACACAAAUACAGAUUAUGGUGAGAAUAUACUACAAAGCUGAGCAUCAAAUUCCCUGAGCUUUCUAAUAGCUCUGGUGAACAUUUAAGAGAGAUGGGAUGCAGGAUAUUUUCAAAAGAAAGGAUCCCUUUACAAGGAACUUCUAUCGGGUAAGUUUUCAUAGGAGGGCUAUUAAACUACCUAAUUGGUCAUUCCUUCAAUAGCUUCACAAACCUAUGGGAAUGACCAUUGCUUUGCGUCAGGCUCCGGAGGAAAAAAAAAAAAGCCGAUUAGACCGAUUAUCAUUUCCUCCAAAUUCUUACUAUAAGGACGCUCCUCUACCCCAUUGCUCUCCUUUUCAGGGAAAGGGUGUCAUAUAAAGACUAAUAGUUUAUCAACACCUUUUCUUGCCCUGCUUUCUUCUACUUCAUUUAAAACUAGGAUGUAAAUAAGACUUGGGGACACAGAUGCAAGAAACAGGGACUCAAUCCUUUAUAGGGAUCAAGUGGGAAGUGCCUGAAACUGACUACUGAAUCCAUGAAAUUGAGCAAUACCCCCCUCGUAUUAAAUUCAACAUGUCAGGCACUAUUCUAAGCAUGUGAUCACA
rnacentral:lncRNA from 1 species